GGUUCUCAGAAAUUCAUGUUGGAGUACAGUUGAAGAAUUAUGGGAAAUUCCUAGAGGCAUACACUUCCCAGCUGAAGCGAAUUGAAGAUGCGUUGGAUGACUCUGUAGGAGAUGUUUGGGAUUUCAAUCUUGAUCCCAUUGCAUUAAAUCUUUUGCCUUAUGAACAGUCUUCCUUACUCGAACUCAUAAAUACGGAAAACAAGGUUCUAAACAAAGUAAUCACUGUGUAUGCUGCCCUUUGCUGUGAAAUAAAAAAGUUAAGAUAUGAGGCAGAAACAAAAUUUUAUAAUGGCCUCUUGUUUUAUGGAGAAGGAGGUAAGUACUUUACAGUUCAGUCUGCUGUUGGUUGGAUUUCUUGCACAUCAUUUGCCAUGAGGUCCCAGGAUAGGUUAGAAUAGGGUGGGUUCUCUCAGG